rnacentral:rRNA from 1 species
CACGGGGGGAGCAAGCGUUGUUCGGAAUCACUGGGCGUAAAGGGCGUGUAGGCGGUCCGGUAAGUCCGCUGUGAAAGUCGGGGGCUCAACCCUCGAAUGCCGGUGGAUACUGUCGGGCUAGAGUGCGGAAGAGGCGAGUGGAAUUCCUGGUGUAGCGGUGAAAUGCGCAGAUAUCAGGAGGAACACCUAUUGCGAAGGCAGCUCGCUGGGACGUAACUGACGCUGAGACGCGAAAGCGUGGGGAGCAAACAGG